rnacentral:lncRNA from 1 species
AAAAAAAACUCUCAGUCCCUAAAUUUCAAACCACGGGUUUUACUCCUCACAGCUCAGCUGAGCUCCCUCUCCAGUCUCCUCACCUUAGCCUCUCACUCUUAUCUCUUGCCGCCUUCCACCACCGACCAGAUUUAGUACACAGGUUUUUCUUGUCUUAAUUCGAAGAUUUGUAGAUGCGGGAAGGUGAGGAGAAACCAACAAGAGAACAGCUGGAGGAGGUCAGUAAGAAUGAAUUUUAGGGUUUGGGUGAUAGAUUUCUCAUCACGCUGUUUAAUGUUGUAGGUGGAGAAAUUGUAGCAUGAAUUAAAUAAGGAGUUGCAACUGAACAAAAUUUCGAAUUGUGCAUAGGGAUGGGUCAAUUCACUCCUGUUCAUGUGUUUCCUUGUUACUCCCACAAAAGGUACUCGUGUUAAUUCCUUUAUGAGUGUUAUCUAUUUUCCUUGAAAAUUGUUGCUUAUCUGUGUGAAAGAGAAGAGUUACGUGACCAUAAUGUAUUCAAUUAAUUCAACGCAAUAUAAUUUUCGAAGCCCUAACAAUCACUUAGUUAUAAUGCUAAUGGAAGCCAAUUUUUCCUUUCCAUAGUACUAAAGCCGUUUUAACAACUAGAAGCUUUUUCACUCCGAGAGUCAUCUGAGGUUGGGGAAUCUUGGAAAGUUGAAAUAGGAUCAGAAAGAGAGUUAAUUUCUCUCCGAGAUAUCUCAUGCUGCUUUUUAGUUUCAACUCACCUGUUUUAUUUCCAACACCAUGACCUAACUCUUUCUUUCCCAUUACUUCGAGCGAUGGGGAUUUUUUUUCUUACAGCUGUAGACUUAAUGCAUACAAAUGGAAGUUGGAGCAUGUUGGGCAAAUUGUUGUCAAACGACCUCCCAGGCUAUGAUGUUAAUUCAAAUUAAUUCCCAAUCGGCUUUGGCAAAUGACUGAAUGGAAAAUAUAGCACCACAAUCGAAAUGACCCGACUCGAAGGUUAAUUGGGCCAUUUGAAGCAAACUAAAUUUUUAGUGUUGCUCAUGGCCCAACUCACUUGCUUGGAUGGCCAAAAUGAGAGAAGCCCACGUAGUAGCCCAUUUAUCUAAUGCUUGGGCCUUACUUGACCAAUUAGUUACCAUAUUGUAACUUCUUUACUUGGCCUCAUAUGCUUGAAUAUAUUUGGGCCGUGUUCUCUUCUCUUGAGGAAAAACUGUGUGCUUCCUUCUUUGUGAAAUUUUCGAUCUUCUGCUUCUCUGCUUGUCGCCUUCUCUCUUCACCUCUGCCUUUGUGGUAAUUGUUAUUGAGUUAUUGCCUACCUUUUGUUGUCUUCUAUGUAGAUAAUCUUUUGGCAAUUGUAAAUGGGAAGAACUUGACAUUGUCUUGGGUCGAUUGGUUUUUUUAUUGUGGUGAAAUUGGAAGGAUAAACUAAGCUUGGCAAACACCUUGGUGGUCAAUACAUUCUUCACAUUUGGUAUCAGAGCUUGCCAAAAGUCCUGCCAAAAGUUGAGAGAGAGAGUGUCGAAUCCUUUUUCCAACUGGAUUCGAAAUCUUUCAAUUUCUCCCAAACCCAGCCUCCGUUGGACAAAUGGAAGUCGGACCCAUAAUCAAUAGAUCGAGGCUCCCCCUUUGAGGUGGCGCGUGGAGUUUUUCGACGAGAUUUUUUCAGGCAUUUUGUCUAUUUUAAUAUCCUGAACGUACUGAUGCGGUUUAUUUAGUGUUUCAGGUUACGCAGGAAAACUUGGACGAUUUUACCCCUGGAUAUAAAUCUGUGUUUGUGGCUGAUGGGUAUUAGUAUAUUUGAUGAAUCUUUAGGGUGGAUAGUGGUGACCCCAAAGCAGUAAAUUUGCAUCUCUUGACUUUCCGGACUCAAAUAGUAGUGUCCCGUUUAAUAGCAUUAGCACGUCACCAUGCAGGGCGAUAGUAGGGUUGUGGUUACUGUGAGGGAUAACAUUGCUUGUGUUAGAAAUUAUGAUUACUUACUUUUAACUGUUUGAUUGAGUACUUGUUCUUGUUAAAUCAGAAUAUUGUUUUGUGUGCCAUAAUUGUCAUGAAAUUUGGUAUCUGUUAGAUAUAUCUAAUUUUUUGCUGUAUUGUUAUCUCCACUACUUACUAAUUCCGUUAGAAUAGUCAAAUUUACCCGUUUGAACAUUCCUUUGAUUUAAGACCACGAGUCUUACAAAAUCCUGAGAAUUUAGAGUGGAAUAUAUUGUUUAUGACUCUGGGACUACUUUGUGUGGUUUGACUAUUUUUUUGGGUAUUGUGUAAAAAUGACAACUCACAACUUCGAUUUGAGAAUUUUUAAUGGAAAACGUGAUUUUUUCAAUUUUGCAACAAAAAAUGAAGGGUAUUUUGGUUCUACAAAAAAUUUCAAAAGUCAUUGAAGACAAUUUUUCAACUGAUUUUUCAAAAAAACAAAAAGAAGAAGCUGAUGAACUUUGCUUAUACCUUAAUCAUUUUAUACUUGUUUGACGUCAUUUUAUGAAAGGUGGUUAAACUGAAAAUUACCAAAGAACUUCAAAAAAAAAUAAAAAUUGGAAGAUCUAUAUUUGUUCAAAUUUACCCCGAACAAGCUUUACUUACUUGAACGUUUCUCUAACUUUAAAAUGGAUCCUUCAAAGGAUCUUGAUGAUAAUUUAAAUGUGUUUGACAAAUUAAUGCAAGAUAUUGUUAACUGUGAUGAGGCUGCAUUUGAAACUUAUAAGGUCAUAAUCUUGCUCAAUUUUAUUCUUAACUCAUAUAAGGAAGUUAAAAAUACCAUUAAGUAUGGUAGGGAUACCUUGAUGCCUGAAAUUGUCGUAAACUCUCUUAGAUAUAAGGAGAUGGAAAUCAGAGCUGAAAAACAUGAUAAGAAAAAUGGUAAAAUACAUGUAAUGCAGGGUAGAACUCAGUUUAGGCAAAACAAUCAUGAUGGAUACCAAAAUAGCGACGAGGCAAGUAGUAAUAGAUGGAAGAAAAAGGGCAACGGUAGGUCUAGAUCAAUGUCUAGAAUGAAGUCAAUGUGUUGUCGAGGAGAAUGACAUUUUAUAAAAGAUUGUUAUAACGAGAAUAAGCUUAAGGUCAAGGAGAGAGAUGAUGUCAACGUGUUGUCUUAUGCUUUCAAUAUAGAUGACGAUGAGGUUUAUAUGAUUAGAAGUCCUAUUGCGUAUACUGUUGAACUAAAGCUAAUUGCUAAUUCCUGCAUGCAAAAGUGGAUACUUGAUUUUGGUGCAUUUUUUCAUGUGAUAUUUGAAGAGAAUUGGUUUGGAAACUUACAUGAAGCUAAUAUUGGGCAUGUUGUGCUGUGUGAUAAUUUUGCUAUACAAUUGCUCGAAUUGGUGACAAUAAUAGAAAGUUCGAUACUGGUUUUGUGUACACCUUGAAAGACGUUAGAUAUAUUCUUGAAUUAUCUAGAAAACUGAUUUCAGUAAGAAGAUUUGAAAAAGACAACUUCAUGGGUAAAAUUGAAAAUGGAACGUUAAAGAUGAUUAAGGGUGUUUUAAUCUCUAUUAAAGGAACUAAGAAAAACAACAUUUAAAUCACUCUGGAGAAGUGAUUAGAGGUUUAAACUCCUCUAUCUCUUUAGUAAAGGUUGACUACACACAUAUAUGACAUAAUAGGCUUGCAAAUAUAGGCAUUAAGGGACUUAAACUUCUUAAUGAAAAAUGUGCAUUUGGUGAUGACUAUGUGUCUGAUUUGUCAUUCUGUGAUCACUAUGUGCUCGGUAAGCAUCAUAAAAUACUCCACUAGUGUUCAUAAAGCUAAGGCAUUCUUGAAUAUGUACAUUCUGAUCUAUGGAGUCCUACUAGUAAUUCCAUGUCGGAUAGGAAUAGGUAUUUCUUGUCUAUUAUUGAUGGCUAUACUAGAAAGUGUGGGUUUAUCUUCUGAAAGAUAAAUUCGAUACUUACCACAACUUGAAUAACUGGAAAAGACGAGGAAAAUCAAACUGGCAAAAUAAUUAAAUUCUUAAGAACAGGAUAAUGGCCUAGAGUUUUGUAACACCUGAAUUUGAUAGUAUGUGUAAAGAAAAUAGAAUAACAAGACAUAAGACCGUUCCUUACACUCUCCAACAAAACAGGUAGUGAAAAUGAUGAAUAGAACCAUACUUGAUAAAGUGCAUUGCAUGAUGUUAUGUUUUGGUGUCCCAUAGUCAUUCUAGGAUGAAGUUGUUAUGACUGUUUGUUAGUUAAUUAAUUUUACUCCAUCUGCUACCUUAAAUGGCAACACUCCUAAUGAAAGUUGGUCGGUAAACUGAGUGAUUACUCUAUACUUAGAACUUUUGGAUGUGUUGCUUUCUCUCAUUAAAGUGACGAAAAGCUUGAACUUAGUGCUAGAAAGUGUGUCUUUCUGCGAUACCUUGAAGGUGUUAAGGGUUAUAAGUUGUGGGAUAGAAGUCGAAAGGGGGUUAAGAUCAUCGUAAGUAAGGAUGUCAUGUUUAACGAGAGUGAGAUACCCUGCCUUAGGGAUGAACCUGAACUUGUGACAAAAAUAGAAUCAGAUGAAGAGAGGGAUUGGUUUAAGGUGGAGCUAGGAAAGCUUAGCACAUCUAUCCCUACAACUCCAAAUGAGGUGGAGACUCAGGUUCAGGAACCCGAGUUGGAGAAUAGAGACGAUGUAAUGAUAGAAGAGCAUUUUUAGGAAGAAAAUCCCUUGGCCAAUUACAAUUUAGCUAGGGAUAGAGAGAGGAGAUAAAGUCUAAGAGAUUCGGAUAUGAAACUGAGUUAGUCUUCACCCAUGCUAGUUACGAAAAACUAGUUGAUAGAGAGCCAAAAACCUUUGAGGAGGCAAUAAAGAGUAAACAGUCCAAAGAGUGGUUUAAGGCAAUGAAAGAGGAGAUGAGUUCUCUAGAGAAGAAUCAGACUUGGAAGCUAGAACAUAGACCUGAGGAUAAAUCGACAAUCGAUUGCAGGGAUCAUUAAGGUUAAAGAAGGUACCAAUAGCUAAGAUUUAAGGUUAGGUUAGUGGUUAAGGGCUACACACAGAAGGAGUGUGUUGAUUAUAAUGAGAUUUUCUCACCAGUUGUUAAGUACACUACUAUUAGAGUCAUACUUGCAUUGAUUGCAAAUUUUCACUGGGAACUCGAGCAACUUUAUGUAAAAACUGUUUUUUUACAUGGUGAGCUUGACGAACAAAUAUUUAUGAAUGAAUUAAAAGGUUUUAAGGAUAAGUUAAAAUCUGAUCAUGUGUUUUCUGAAAAGGUCUUUGUAUGACUUGAAACAGACACCUAGACAGUGGUACAAAAGAUUUGACUUUUUUGUAUUCACUAUAGGGUUCUAAAAAAGUAAGUUUGAUUAUUGUCUGUAUUUUCAACACAACGAGGUUGAUAACAAUUAUUUGUUUUUGCAGAUCUAUGUGGAUGACAUGCUUUUGAUUGGAUCAUUGUCAAAGUGGAUAAACAACAUAAAAACAAAGCUAAGUGGUGAGUUUGACACGAAAGACCUAGAUAAGGCUAAGAGAAUUCUAGGCAUGGAAAUCGAAAGAGAUAGGUAAAAUUUUGCUUUGUUUCUGUAUCAAUCUUCUUAUAUUUCUAAAGUGUUGAAGAGAUUUGAUAUGAAUGAUUGCAAACCUAUCACAUUGCCUCUAGCUAAUCACUUUACAUUAUCUAAAUAUCAAGCUCCUUGCAAUGAACGUGAAGUAGAAUACAUUAGUAGAGUUCUGUAUUCUAAUAUGAUUGGUUUCAUAAUGUAUUUGAUAGUUUGCACUAGACCAUUUUUAGCUUUCAUUGUUAGUACUCUCUAGGUACAUGUCUAAUCCGGGUCUUGAACAUUGGGAAGCCUUAAAGUGAUUAUUAAGAUACUUUAAUGGUAUUAGUGAUAUAGGUCUUAAGUUUGGUAGCAGUAAGAAAGAUGUAAAAUUGAAGUGUUUUGUAAAUGUUGACUAUGCGGGGGAUAGAGAUUGUAGGAAAUCAACCUCCAUACACAAUAUAACCCUUGAGACAUAGGCACUAAAGUGCUACUACUGGUAAAGUUUAAAAGUUACAAGUAUCUUCUAAACAUUGGAAUAGGUAAAUGAUUUCCAAUUUUAUUGGUUUCCUUUUUAGAGGUGUCACUAAUUAGAUAUAUGUUUUCUUUGCAGGUCCUUUGACACCCAGGUGAAUGUUGUUGGGAAAAUUGUUGUCAAACGAUCUCCCAAGUUAUGAUGUUAAUUUAGAUUAAUUCCUAGUUGACUUUGGCAAAUGACUGAAUGGAAAAUAUAGGGCCACAAUCGAAAUGACCCAACUCGGAGGUUAAUUGGACUAUCUGAAGCAACCUAAAUUUUCAGUUUUGCUCAUGGCCCAACUCGCUUGGAUGACCAAAAUGAGAGAAGCCCACUAAGUAGCUCUUGGGCCUUACUUUGUGUACUUUGUGAAAUCUAGUUACAGACUUGAGCUGUCUUUGGCUAAGGGUGGCAUAGAACCACCUUUCAAAAUGUUUGCAAACUGGUAGAAAUAUCUGUAGAGUAGUGAUGUCCCACCAAAAAUUAUAUGGAGGGCUUUGUUGGACAUCCUGCUAUCAAAAUCAUGCUUGAGAGUAAGACAACUGGAGUUAGCUCCAACCUCAGUAGAUGUUCGGAGGUGGAGGAAGACACAUCUCAUGCCAUCAUCUUUUACCCCGUGGAGAUGACAGUUUUGGAUGAGAGAGAUUUCUUCCAAUGGGGUGUUGUUAGCUGGCAUUAGUGUCGGAGAGGUGCUAUUGAGGAUUUUGGAGAAUCUAUUAAUAUAUAUAGGGUAAAGCCAGGUCCGAAAACGAUUUUCCCAAUGUCCGAGGCUAGGAUCUGAAAGCCCAAGAUUGACUAACCAAGAGCGGGGUGAAUUGAUUUUAUCAACUUUUUCGAGAAUUAAUUCUAGAUAUAUCUAUUGCACAAAUACGAAAAUGAAUAAUGAAGAUGACCGUUGGGUGAAAAAUCUUCAUCGGAUGUCCACUAUACUACCGGACCGUCCGCGGUAUAAAGAAGUUUUCUUUGAGCUUUCAAGACUUUAAUGCUAAAUAUCAAAGCAUUUUACCUUUACAUAUAGAUUCGAAAAUUCUAAUAUGACUUUCUUCAAUAUGCCCGAUUAUUAAUGUUCAUGACUUUGAUCUUGAUUCCUCUUGGCAUUGGCAAUUGUCUCGUUCUUCAUGAGUGCAUUCGUCUAGUCCUAUGAGUCUUCAUUUUGAUUUCAACUAUCAUGACUCAAAGGUUGGUUUGUUAGAACUAAAAAUAAAUCUUUUUUGUUAUAAUCAAACAUAUGCCGAAGUCGAAGCCAACAGGAUCUUGGCUAUAACUGUGCUAUCAAUACAAGGAAGGGAACAAUUUUGUAUCGGGCAACUAGCCUAGCCAAUCGCCACCUAAAAUUCUUAAGGAUUCUCAAACAUUAGUAGAAGAAUUCCACUCAAUGAAAUAAUUGCAAAGAACAAUAAGUAGCAGCGGAGUUGUAGAUGGACGAAGAUGGUCUCUCCUAGAUUGGCUAGGGAUAAGCUAAAGCUAAAUGUUGAUGCUGCUAUCCACUUUUAAGGAAACAACUUUUGUGUGGGCAUAGUGUGUAGGGACCACCAUGGUGGUGGUAAUUGCUGCAACUUGCAAGAAAAUAUUCUGGCGUGUCACUCCAUAUACUACAGAAAGUGUGGCCAUUAGGGAGGGAUUGACUUUUGCACAGACGCACGACCUCGCUGUAGAUUGUAUUUAGAGAGGUUGUUUGAAUGUAGUCUAUGCGAUGAACAAUCCAUCAUUCCAUUCGACCAAGGGUGCUAUUUUGGCCAAAAUUGAUGCACUAUGGGCAAUUAUUUCUGAUUACUUCAUAAAGUAAAGCUAUCUAUACUUAACAACUUAAGUAUUCAAUUUAUAAUAAUAUCCGUGAUCACGGUACAUUUUAUUAUUUGCUCAAAUACUAAAUGAGUAAAAAUAAUCAAAUAACAUAAAUUAGUAAAAAAACAUAAUGUCGAAUAAUAUAUUUGAUUAUAUAUUUAACCACGAUCCAAUGUUCUAAUCGAGUAUUAGACUAACAUCAACUAACAAUCCCAACAACAUAAUAAAUAUUUGAUCUAGUGCAUAGCAUAUUAUACAUGAGGCUUCUUAUUGUAGAUGCAUAAGGAAUCUAACUAAUCCAUUCUACCUCAUCGGGGCUUUUCGAAAAAUGCUCCUUCGAGAUGUGUAUUCCAUGUCUAAAAAAUAAGCAUUAUCUUCUGGAAUUUUGCAUAGCAAAUCAAACCAGUAUUUUGUCAAUAUAUGAGGCUUGAGAGAGGGCUAUCCGCAUGUUCUUUAGAUCUUUAAUGAUCUAAAUGUCUAGAACAUGACUAGCAUCUCCCAUGUCCUUCAUGUCAAAUCGUUGUUCCAACCUUUCGUUUACUAAUGACAUGUCCCUACAUCAUUACCAAUAAGUAAUAUGUCAUCUAUGAAAAGUAUUGAGAAAAAUUAUUUUGUUGUCUUGAUGAGCUUGUAAAGAAAAGGCUCAUCUAGAUUUUUUGAUUGAACUAUAAGUCUUAAUAGUUUGGUCAAAUCUAAUAUUCCAAGACCUAGACGUUUGUUUAUGAUCAUAGAUGGACCUUUGUAAACUAUAAGUUUUUCUUUCAUGCCCUUUUAUUAUAAAUCUAUCUAGUUGCAUCAUAUAAAUGAUUUCAUUAAAAUGAUCGUUUCGAAAGGCUAUCUUAACAUUCAUUUACCAUAUCUCAAUGUCAUAAAUUGCUGUAAUGGAUAUGACAAUUCCAAUACACUUAAGAAUAGCUACUGGCGAAAAUGUCUCCUUGUAAUCGAUACAUUCUUUGGAUAAAACACUUUGUCCUAAGUCUAGCUUUAAUGUUCCAUAUCUAUCCAUCUAUUCUUCUCUUUUUGUUACAGACCCACUUGCACCCAAUGAUUUUGACUCUUUUAGAUGUGACUCCAUUUUCAUUUUCAUAGCAUCUUUCCAUGAUAUUGUGUCUAUGUCCUCCAUGACUUCUUUAAAUGAUGUGAGAUCCACUUUUUGCUUAAUGGAAACUGCCUGGAAAGACUCUCCAUAGAGCAGUUACCUAGAGGGCGAUAUAAUAACCCUCUCACUUUGCCUAAGUUGUAGAGGCUCUUAAUGGUCUUGUUAUACUGGAGGUCUAUUUAAUUUUCCCACUAUAUUACCAAGUCCCUAAUCAAUUCUCUCAGUCAUUGUACGUUUGAUUUUUGGUGACUAAAUGACAACGUGGUUCUAUCCCCCUAUUACAAGCUAAGGUGUUGCUUGUGUAUUCUUGUUGUGUAUUGGUCGUUCAAAACCAACAAAUGAACAAUGUAAUGUGGAAUGAAAUCAAACAAACAACAAAUUGGAGACCCAAAUUUUGGUCCAUGCGGUCACAUGGCUAUCACCUGAGACUUUGGGAAUGGUCGCAAAGUAAACCAUGCGACCACAUGGCUUAAAACCAUGCAGUCGUAUGGUACAUCAACAGUGACCGUUGGUGGUCGUUUUCUAACGUUAUGAAUUUGAAUUUGGUGGCCUUUCAUUCGAUUUUUGGCACCAUUUCAAGUAUAUAGAUGAGGCCUAUAUAUAGUGGAGCCAUGUUCAAUGAAAAAAGUAAUAAAAACUUAUCGUAAUCCAUACAUUGCUCCACAAAUAAUCAAUCUCGAUUUUUCAUUCAUAUUCGUCAUUUGUUUUCUUCAAGCUUGAAGAAUUUCACUUCGUGCUUUGAUGAAAUUCUUUAUAGAGCUUGUUAUAAUCCUUCAAACUAUUUGUUGAAAUACCUUUAAGCAUCUCAUAAACAUUGAAAAGGGAGCAAAUAACGUUUGAGGACAGCAAUUCCACGUUCGAGCCUUCGAAAUUAUUAUUGACAACUUUUUGAUUUCUUCAUUUUGUUGUUGCAAAUUUUCAUGUUAUUUCUUUUGUUUCUUUUCCAUCCCUCCAAUAUUUUCAACAAGCUCAAACAUUAUUUUGCGAUGGAGAGCGAGACAACAAUAACGACUAUCAAACUAAUGAAUCAAGACCUAGUAUGACUGGAUGGUUCGACGACACAAACUUCAUGCGGUUGCAAGAUAAGUUGAAGUUUCUCCUUACUGUGUUGAAGAUCUUUUACAUUCUAGAUCUGGAUUUUACGUCGUUACCGAAACCCACAAGUGGAGAGAUCGAAGCAAUCAAGGCCGAAAGACAAAAACGCCAAGAAGAUGAACUAACUUGUAGUGGUCACAUCCUAAAUGCCCUAUCGGAUCGUUUAUAUGAUUUGUAUACAAAUACAACUUCGACAAAAGAAAUCUGGAAUGCAUUGGAGAGUAAAUACUAAGCAGAAGAGGAAGGUACCAAGAAAUUCUUAAUUUCUGAAUACUUUGACUUGAAAUUUCUUGAUAACAUUUCCGUUCUACCCCAAGUGCAUGAAUUGCAAGUAAUUGUCAACAAACUAAAUGUAGUAAAGAUUGAAAUCCCAGAGACCUUUCAAGUGGGGGCCAUAAUUGCUAAAAGAGAGAAAUUUCUGCCAUGAAUAAUUUCAGUUUAUGCUUUCUCAAGAUAAGGGCUAUUCAAUUAUCAUCAAGUUCUUGAAGUAAUUUUAGGAGAAAUUGAUUAACUGUUCAAUAGUAUGUCAGAGAAUGAAAAGACAAAUGUAAUCAAUAAUGUCCAUUUGGAAUAAGCUUCGAAAUGUUUGUGUUUGUUAGGUACUCUCUAAAUAUCAAUAGAUAAUCAGGACCAUACAUUAAUUCAUUAUGCAAUCCUCGUAUUUUCGAUAAUGUUACCUCAUAUAUAGCACAUGUUCAAGCGGUUUAAACAAAAUUUUAAACAAUCAUUUGUCAAACACAAUUUUUGGAUGUUUUUAUGUUAUCAACUCCUUGAUAUGUAAACUACUACUUCUAGAAUAGUUGGAAUAACUCUUGAUAACUAUUCUGAGAAUUCGUGGAUGCAAUAGCAAUUGUCAUGGUUUCAGGAAGUCGGGGCACUACCUUUCAGAAUUCCCGAUGAAGUAAUGACACCCAAGAUGCGGCAAAGGAUUUGUGAAUUGGAUGGAGCGAUGUUACAAAGAAGGAAAACACGUACAAUUUGAGGGUGAGUCUAGUGGUACAGUAAGAUGUAUUUGUUUGGAUGAAGAUCCAAUGCCAGAUUUGUCACGUAUGUUGAAGGAUGUUGCUAAAAUAACCUAGCAACAGUAUGUGGAGAUCUCCCUCAUUAUUACUAUCCUUAAAGGAAAAUGAGAUGUAGAAGAGAAUGGAAAGCUAAAGGGCAUAGCUCCACAAAAUUGUAUUGCUUAUCUUAGUACUUAAAACAAUGUUAUUGUAAUCGACGUGGUCCACAAAUGUUAUUGUAAUCUUGAAGUCUUAUUCAUGUAUGACUCCAUAUCUAUUUCUUAUGAAGUUUGAUCAUUAUGUUAU